UUCUCUAUAGCUGUUCCAUUGAGCAGCUGAUCAUCCCGAGAACUGAUACCUAGCUGUAUGUCCAGAAUCUCCUAUGGGAAGAAGAAAGAAUUGUCCAUCAAUAUUGUGGCUACUUGCUUUGCUGCCAACACAUGGAAGAAUAAGCAAGGAAGAGUCGCAGCUACCUUACCAAAUACCAGUCGGAAGGCAUAUAUUUGUAUACAGAAGAGAAAACAAUGGAGACAAGGUAAGGAAUGUGUACAGCAUGGCAUCUCAUUCAGUCCAUGUUUAAUUACGGUUCGUAGGCCCUGCUAUAAAUUUAGGAGCCAUCUGCCCCUCACCCCCACUGUGAUCUCCCACUGAUGUCACUGAGAGACUCAGAGUGCGAUCCAGGAGAUAAUCUGGCCAUUACACAGUAACUCAACUUUUAGGUAUUUUUUUAUUCAGUACAUCACCACCACACCAGCAUCACUCGGUGUGAAAAUCUGCUCCCUUGCAUCACCACCACUAAUUCUUCCCUUUGUUUUUCUUCCUUUUCCAUCCUCCUGUCUCUGCAUUUCCUUUGUUCUUUCCUCUGGAUUUCCUUCUCUGCAGCAACUCCUAAUUCCCAUCUCCCCUUGGGUUUAACUUCCUGUUAUUUCCCAGUCCAUAUGCUAAAUGCUCUGCAAUAAAACAGUUAAGGUUGCAACUGAAGUGUCAUCACUGGAGCUGACACUCCAAUGAGAUUAAUAGGGGCAGGAGAGUUCAAACCCCCGAGUUAUUGUCAGAAGCCAUCUGCACAUGCAAGCAAACAUUACUGUAUUGAGUACAUUAAGUUUACAUUUUAAAGGUUUUCUCUGCAACCACAAGGACUAGAAAUGUACUUAAAAAAAAAAGACAGCUGAGAUUCUGAACAAUCUGACUAUAUCCUCUGGGCUAUAAAAAUACAUUUAGCAAGCCGGAUCUGGCCCGCAGACCAUGCAUUUAACAUCCCUGGGUCAGGAUCCUUUGGACUGGAGUCCCAUUUUUAGGUGUCAAUAUAGGACCUAAGCAGAGGGAGAUGCAUCUUGGAUCCAAAGUGUCUUCCUCAAUGCAUAGAGUCAUGUCAUAAUGUGAAUCAAAGAAAUGGGAGUAGGCAACGUCUAGGAUGUGUGUAAUUGAUUCAGCUGAUGUGUGUUUGUAAGCAGAGGAGCAAAGGGGUCUAAGAUAGCCCUACCCAAAAGGACAAAGAUCUGCCUAUUAUGGUUUGAAAAAUAAUUUGUUUAGGGGUUGCUGCUUGACAAGUGUAACCCAAGGAAGGAAAAGAGCUCUGGACUAAUUAGGUAGUAUGAUUUCUGACAUGACUUUUAAAGUAAAUCAUAUUCUUUUCUUUUCCACUCUCACCUACCCUUGGUAAAGGCACAGUCCUCUGUUCAUUUGGAGGUUGGCAAGCCAUGGAGUAAUAUCCAUCCAACGAAUUAUAUCUUUCACGCAAUGAUGUCUGACAGACAGAUGAGUGCAUCACAUCCAUUGGAGGUAAAGAAUUGCUCCUAAUAAUGUCAUCCCUUGGGUAUAUCUGUGGACGCCAGAUGCGCCUGCUGUCAUACACCGGAGCAUACAUUCCAGAAGGGACGGGAGGAACUGGUCCAUACUGCUGCGGAGGAGGAGGUUGGUAAGGAGAAUUCAGUCGCUCUCGAGGGGGAAAUGUACUGUAAUGAUCGGCAUAUGGCACGGAAGCAGGUGGGAGGGAGGAUUCUGGAACAUUACUGGACCUCACAAAGCGAGGAACACAGGGAGCCACACCAGCUGGUACUGUUGGAGGUGGUGGGUAGUAUCCUUGAAAAUUGGAAAAAAGCGUAUUUAAUUUGGUCUCAAUAGGAUCAGAAUUUUAAAACAGUUCUAAAAUUUUAAGUAGCACUUGAUACUGACUUCAGAGUAAAGUGUCUUGUUUCUACAGGUCCCCUGUUAACUCCAUCACUUCUCUGUGGAUGAGCAUUGCAUGUUUGAAAACUGGGUCUGCAGGGGCAGUACUAACACUGUACAGGGUGUUCACAGGAACGGACAUUGUUGGGAGGGGUGACAGAGGAGCGGUAUAUUCCACCAUAUGGUAGCACUUUUACAAGAACAGGUGGCAAUUUAGCCCUUCCUCUCCAAACCUAACAUGCGUGUGUAUAUUUUUUAUAUAUGGAGGUUACAUAAAUACUUUUAAAGAAAAAGGUCUGUCAUCUGUUUAUAUACCAACAUUUUGGGUCUAAAGAAUUCUGAGGGUCUUUAAGCCAUCAGCUGGCAAGUGGUUUAUUUUUUUACAUUGCCGAAUAGAUCAUUUCCCCCUCCUAUACUCUACUCCGACAGCUGGGACCUGCCUGAAGUUAGAACCAAUGAUACAGCAGUUUUCUUGGCUGCACUUAAUAGAACCCUCUUUCUUUUACCUAACAUGGUGCUCGUUAGCGUCCUAAAAUACCAAGCACAGUAUGCAGAAGCACUUGGUACAUGGAGUGUCUGCCUCCCAGGUCUCUGCCUAGAUGAAUACUCAAACUAACCAUUCCUCAAGGGCAUACAGACAUUUGUGCAGUCUAUGAGAGGCACGCUGGGACUGUCUGUGUACACAGAUGGCUAGAAAAGAUUUGGGAAAAGCUUGAAUUAUUCAGGACUGUAAAUAUAGUGGGAAAUGCACAACCUGAACUAAAUUCCACCCAUGGAUGCAGACAGACUGAAGUCAAACCCAUACACAUUGGGGUGCAGAGACUGGCUCUCAUUGUGGGUGAGCAGUAAAGAACUGUACACAUGGAGGGGUGAGGAAGGGUGGUGUUUCCAGUAAGAUAUUAUAAAAGGAGACUGCUAAGCUAGCUCCAUGAAGGAUGCAAACAAGAUGGAGUCUCACAUGUUUCACACAAGGAAAGCAAACAACUUUUCUCCACAACACAAGUCUUCAACACAUCUGUCCCCUCUCCAAUAAGUAGGCAUGGUUUAAAUGUUGCUAAACUUCCUUUAAAGAAUUUUGGAGACCUCUCUAGUUAAAUAUGGAAAUAAUGCAAAGAGUGUAGCAAUGCUCCUGCAUUCUGCGGCCUUCUCUUUACUCAAUCAUAAUAUUCAGAGUUCAAAAGCUUGCGUAUUGGGCUCCGCUGAAACCAGGAGGCCCAGCAAAUAAGCCCCAUAUGAACUUGGUGCCAUUGGGAUUUGAAGAAAUUUAGAAAGCACAAACACUGAAACCCAUUCAAGUUUAUACAGGCAAAAGUGAAGGAUUGCCUAUGGCUCAGCAACCAUGUCACUCACCUGUCUGUGGGUACUGUGGAACUUCAUAGGACAACUGUGUUCUAGGAUCUUGAAAAUACUGAACAUUAUCAGAAUGUGGAGGGUAGACAGGUACUCUGGUUACAAAAGGGCUGGAUUUUGGAGGCAGAGAAUUCAUCUCUGUUCCAAUAUUAGGACCACCAGCUGAGGUAGCUGCUGCCUGGCUUACAGGAGUCUUGGGUGGAGAGCAAAUUUUACUGAAAAGAAUUGCAAAGAAAUCAAAUGGAUUUGCAUUUACUACUUAUUAUUUGUAUUCAUCUUUUGUCAUUUCUAACUCAAACACAAAACACUCUAGUAUGACAUAGCCCAAAUUCCUCAUUAUCUCCACUGGUAUUUCUGAAGACUUCAAUUAUUUUUUAAAUACAACAUUGAUGCUAUUAUUAAAAAGCAGACUAUCUUCAAGAGAACGUCAUGCACUCAUAAGCUGAUCUAAACCUUUUAGUUUGUACCUAGAGCUCAGAUACCAGUACUGAAAGCAUGUUCUGGAAACAACAGAUAGGCAUU